CACGCCGUAAACGAUGAAUACUAGGUGUUGGUGGGCAAAGCCCAUCGGUGCCGCCGCAAACGCAAUAAGUAUUCCACCUGGGGAGUACGUUCGCAAGAAUGAAACUCAAAGGAAUUGACG
rnacentral:rRNA from 1 species